UGGGAUCCCGCUGGUCCUCUAUAUGCGAAGCAAGCAGGGAGCCAGUCACGGAGCUCAGGGAAACAGCAUUGCUAAUUGAAGUAAGGCCAGGCUGUGCUGAAUGAAGUAGGGCAGAAUGAGGGGCUGUGGCUGUCUCCUGCCGCCUGCUUGCUGAGAACUGGAAUAGGCACAGCUCUCAGUUCCUUUGGAGGCCUGGGGAGGAGACAGAGUUGUUCUGUUGUUAGCCCUGCCAGACCACCGAAGGGAUGCCACUGCCCCUGAUCUAUCAGUGGCUUCAGUAGCGAAGACCUCAUCAUCAGACGAAUGCUGACUCCUCAUUAAUCCAGCUGAGACAUACGUGCCAGGAAAGUCUGAGUUUGAAAGUUAUUCUCAACCUCUUGGCUUGACAUCUUUUGCAUGAGUAUGGAGGGAUGUCUGAAAACAUCUUCUGCUCCCAGCUGAGUUGUGUGAGAAAACUGAACAGGUAAGAUAGGAGAAGAUAUCUUGAAUCAUAAAAGAAGGAAGAACAGAGAAAAGAGCCAAAUAUGG